rnacentral:rRNA from 1 species
UCGGGAAUUUUGGGCAAUGGGUGAGAGCCUGAUCCAGCCAUGCCGCGUGCAGGAAGAAGGCGUUAUGCGUUGUAAACUGCUUUUUGCCAGGGGAUAAAAAGACCGUGCGCGGUUAAUUGAAGGUACCUGGUGAAUAAGCCACGGCUAACUACGUGCCAGCAGCCGCGGUAAUACGUAGGUGGCAAGCGUUGUCCGGAUUUAUUGGGUUUAAAGGGUGCGUAGGUGGCCCUGUAAGUCAGUGGUGAAAUAUCUCAGCUUAACUGAGAGGGUGCCAUUGAUACUGCAGGGCUUGAGUACAGAUGAGGUAGGCGGAAUUGACGGUGUAGCGGUGAAAUGCAUAGAUAUCGUCAAGAACACCGAUAGCGAAGGCAGCUUACCAAGCUGUAACUGACACUGAGGCACGAAAGUGUGGGGAUCAAACAGGAUUAGAUACCCAAGUAGUCCCUGAGCGGGCUGGCAAGGCGCAU